GUUCAUUCCAUGUCUAAGCAUACGUAGUUCAUUCGAUUUUGAGCCACGGUGCACAUGCUUGGCUCCAGCAUGUGCUGGUGCCGCAUUUUUUUCACUCGGGACAGCAUCGCCGGAGCAUCGCCAGAGCAUCGCCGGAGUACCGUCGGAGAACCUGACCGGCGGCAUUGGGGUUCCGGCGAUUGGGAGGGGGGCCGGGGGGGUGUGCGCACAUGAUGUGCGAUGGGUGCUGGUACUUGGCCCUUGUAUUGGCCCCCUAUCCCUCAUCAAACCUCUGAGAACUCACACCCCCUUAAAGAGCAUUUGAGAUUUUACAGGUUUGCUGCCAGUAGCCGUUCAAGUGUCUGAAAUGGGGACACUUUUUUCAAACGGUCACGAAAUCUUCUCCGGUUCGAGUUUUUAGCUGAAUUUUUUUGUGCAUGCCAACAAAAAUAGAAGGAUCACGUCCACAAAAUUUGGGGCCAAAACUCCUUCUAAAAAAAUUCUAAAAAAUCCCGAACCGCAAAAAGUUUCGAAAAUCGUGAAAAAUAGAAAACGAGUCAUCUUCCAACGAAACUUCACGUGAAGGCUUAGGGGACCAUUGUAUGAAUUUACAAGCCAUAAAAAUGGCAUUGGCACGGCAGAAAUUUGAAGAUGUGCCUAAACCCACCUAGCACCCGAUCGAUCCCCGGCUUGCGCAUCCUGCCUCUCCGGCCGGCUGAGCGCCCGCACGCUCGUUCCGUGGGUUGACUUAGCCAUACGGAGUUCAUUCCAUGUCUAAGCCCCAGUCGGACCGAGGGUCGCGGCAGCUGGACCGGCAGCGGGAUUGGCAGCAGCACGCGGGGGGACCGGGCCGAUCCCCGGCUUGCGCAUUAUGCCCCUCCAGUCGACUGAGCGCCCGCACGCUCGUUUCGUGGGUUGACUUAGGCAUACGGAGUUCAUUCCCGAUCUAAGCAUACGGAGCUCAUUCUCGGUCUAAGAUCGGACCGACAGCGGGAUUGGCAGCAGCACGCGGGGGGGACCGGAUCGGUCUCCGGCUUGCGCAUUAUGCCCCUCCGGCCGGCUGAGCGCCCGCACGCUCGUUCCGUUGGUUGACUUAGGCACACGGAGUUCAUUCCAUGUCUAAGCCCCGGUCGGACCGAGGGUUGCGGCAGCGAGACCGGUAACACGCAGAGGGGGACGGGCCGAUCCCCGGCUUGUGCAUUACGCCUCUCUGACUGGCUCAGCACCCGAACGUUCAUUUUGUGGGUUGACUUAGGCAUACGGAGUUCAUUCCCAGUCUAAGAUUGGAUCGGACCGAGGGUUGCGGAGUAGGAUCGACAGCACGUAGGGGGGACUGGGUUGGUCCCUGGCUUGCGCAUUCUGCCUCUCCGACCGGCUGAUUACCUGCACGCUCGUUUCGUGAGUUGGCUUAGGCAUACGGAGUUCAUUCCAUGCCUAAGCAUACGGAGUUCAUUCCCAGUCUAAGAUCGAACCGGACCAAGGCUUGCGGCAGUAGGACCAGCAACAGGAUCGGCAGUACGUAGAGGGACCGGACUGAUCCCCGGCUUGUGCAUUCUGCCUCUCUAGCCGGUUGAGCACCCGCACACUCUUUUCGUGGGUUGACUUAGGCAUACGAAGUUCAUCCUCGGUCUAAGCAUACGGAGUUCAUUCCUAAUCUAAGAUCAGACCAGACCGAGGGUUGCGGUAGCAUGCAGGGGGGAUCGGGCCGAUCCCCGACUUGUGCAUUCUGCCUCUUCGGCUGGUCGAGAGCCCACACACCCGUUUUCUGGGUUGGCAUAAGCUUAGGGAGUUCAUUCCAUGUCUAAGCCCCAGCCGAACUGAGGGUUGUGGCAGCGGGACCGACAACACACAAAGAGGGACCGAGCCGAUCCCCGACUUGCGCAUUAUGCUUCUCCGGUCGGCUCAAUGCCCGAAUGCUCGUUUUGUGGGUUGACUUAAGCGUACGGAGUUCAUUCCCAGUCUAAGAUCAGACUGGACCGAGGGUUGCGGCAACAGGAUCACAGCAUGCAGGAGGGAUCGGGUCGGUCCCCAGCUUACAUAUUCUGCCUCUCCGGUUGGCUGAGGGCCCGCACGCUCGUUCUAUGAGUUGGCUUAGGCAUACAGAGUUCAUUCCAUGUCUAAGCAUACGGAGUUCAUUCCCAGUCUAAGAUCGGACAGGACCGAGGCUUGCGAUAGCAGGACCAACAGCAGGAUCGAUAGCACGCAGGGAGGAUCGGGCAGAUCCUCAGCUUGCGCAUUCUACCACUCCAACCAGUUGAGCGCCCGCACGCUCGUUUCAUGGGUUCACUUAGUCAUACAGAGUUCAUCUCCAGUCUAAGCAUACAGAGUUCAUUCCCAGUUUAAGAUCAAACUGGAUCGAGGGUUGUGGCAGCAGGAUCAACAGCACGCAAGGGGGACCAGGUUGAUCCCUGGCUUACGCAUUCUGCCUCUCCGGUCGGUUGAGCGCCCGCACGCCUGUUUCGAGACCCCACACCCCCUUAAAGAGCAUUUGAGAUUUUAUAGGUUUGCUGCCAGUAGCCAUUAAAGUGUCUGAAAUGGGGACACUUUUUUCAAACGGUCACAAAAUCUUCUCCACUUCAAGUUUUUAGCUGAAUUGUUUUGUGCAUGCCAACAAAAAUACAAGGAUCACCUCUACCAAAUUUACGGACAAAAAUCUUUCUAAAAAAAUUUUAAAAAAUCUGAAACCGUAAAAAAGUUUCAAAAAUUAUGAAAAAUAGAAAACGGGUCGUCUUGCCAUGAAACUUCACAUGAAGGUGUAGGGGACCAUUGUAUGAAUUUACAAGCCAUAAAAAUGGCAUUGGCAUGGCAGAAAUAUGAAGAUAUGCUUGAACGCACCUACCACCCGUUCGAUCCCCGGCUUACGCAUCCUGCCUCUCUGGUCGUCUAAGCGUUCGCACGCUCGUUUCAUGGGUUGACUUAGGCAUACGGAGUUCAUCCCCAGUCUAAGCAUACGAGUUGAUUCCCAUUCUAAGAUCGGACCGGACCGAGGGUUGCGGCAGCAGGAUCGAUAGCGCAUUCUGCCUCUUCGACCGACUGAGCGCCCUCACGCCCAUUUUGUGGGUUGGCUUAGGCAUAGGGAUUUCAUUCCAUGUCUAAGCCGCAACUAGAUUGAGGGUUGUGGCAGCGGGACUGACAGCAUGUAGAGGGGGAUCAGGCUGAUCCCUGACUUGCGCAUUAUGGCUUUUCGAUCGGCUCAGUGCCCGUACGCUCGUUCCAUGGGUUGACUUAGGCAUACAGAGUUCAUUCCCAGUCUAAGAUCAGACCGGACCAAGGGUUGGCACAGCAGGAUCGACAGCACAUUGGGGGGAUCAGGUCGGUCCUCGAUUUGUGCUUUUUGCCUCUCCGAUCGGUUGAGCGCCCUCAUCCUCGUUUUAUGGGUUAACUUAGGCAUACGAGGUUCAUUCCAUGUCUAAGCAUAUGGAGUUCAUUCCCAAUCUAAGAUCGGACUAGACCGAGGGUUAUGGUAGCAAGACCAGCAGCAGGAUUGGCAGCACGCAGGGGGGACUGAGUCGAUCCCCGGCUUGCGCAUUCUACUCUCUGGCCGGCUGAGUGCUCGCAUGCUCAUUUCGUGGGUUGGCUUAGGCAUACAGAGUUCAUUCCAUGUCUAAGCCCUAGUCGGAUCUAGGGUUGUGGUAGCAGGACCGACAGCGGGAUCGACAGCACGCAGAGGGGGAGCGCCUAUACGCUCGUUUCGUUGGUUGACUUAGGCAUACGGAGUUCAUCCCCAGUCUAAGCAUACGGACUUCAUUCCUAGUCUAAGAUCGGACCGGACCGAGGGUUACGGCAGCAGGAUCGAUAGCACAUAGGGGGGAUCGGGCCGAACCCUAACUUGCGCAUUCUGCCUCUCCGACCGACUGAGCACCCGCAAGCCCGUUUCGUGGGUUGGCUUAGGCAUAGGGAGUUUAUUCCACGUUUAAGCCCCAGUCGGACCGAGGGUUGUGGCAGCAAGACCGACAGCUUGCAAAAGGGGAUCGGGCCGAUCCCCGACUUGCGCAUUAUGCCGCUUCGGCUGGCUCAGCACCCGCACGCUCGUUUUGUGGGUUGACUUAGGCAUACGGAGUUCAUUCCCAGUCUAAGAUUGGACCGAACCGAGGGUUGCGACAGUAGGAUCGGUAGCACGUAAGGUGGGAUCGGGCCGAUCCCCGGCUUGCACAUUCUGCCUCUCCGACCGACUGAGUGCCCGCACGCAUGUUUCAUGGGUUGGCUUAGGCAUAUAGACUUCAUUCCAUGUCUUAGCAUACGGAGUUCAUUCCCAGUCUAAGAUCAGAUCAGACCGAGGGUUGGGCAGCAGGACCAGCAGGAAGAUCGACAGCACGUAGGGGGGACCGGGUCGAUCCCCGACUUACGCAUUCUGCCUUUCCAACCGGCUGAGCGCCCGCACGCUCGUUUCAUGGGUUGGCUUAGGCAUACGAAGUUCAUUCCAUGUCUAAGCCCCAGCCAGACCGAUGGUUGUGGCAGCAGGAUAGACAGCAAGCAGAGAGGGACCAGGUUGAUCCCCGACUUACGUAUUAUGCCUCUCCGCCGGCUCAGUGCCGGUACGCUCCUUUUAUGGGUUGACUUAGGCAUACGGAGUUCAUCCCCAGUCUAAGCAUACAGAGUUCAUUCCCAGUCUAAGAUCAGACCGGACCAAGGGUUGCGGCAGUAGGAUCGACAGCACGCAGGAGGGAUCGGGCCGAUCCCCCACUUGCGCAUUCUAUCUCUCCGGCCGACUGAGCGCCCAUACGCUCGUUUCGUGGGUUGGCUUAGGCAUACGGAGUUCAUUCCAUGUCUAAGCAUACGGAGUUCAUUCCCAAUCUAAGAUUUUGAGCCACGGUGCACAUGCUGGGCUCGGGCAUGUGCUGGUGCCUCAUUUUUUUCGCCUAGGGCACCAUCGUCGGAGCAUCGUCGGAGAGCCUAACCGUUGGCAUUGAGGGUUCCCGCAAUUGGGGGGGCCGGGGGGUGUGCACACAUUAUGUGCAAUGGGUGCCGGUACUUGGCCCUUAUAUUGGCCCCCUAUCCCUCAUCAAACCUCAAGAACUCACAUCCCCUUAAAGAGCAUUUGAUAUUUUAUAGGUUUACUGCCAGUAGCCAUUAAAGUGUCUGAAAUGGGGACACAUUUUUCAAACGAUCACAAAAUCUUCGCCACUUUGAGUUUUCAGCUGAAUUUUUUUGUGCAUGCCAACAAAAAUACAAGGAUCACCUCUACCAAAUUUGGGGACAAAACUCUUUCUAAAAAAAUUUUAAAAAAUCCCGAACCGUAAAAAGUUUUGAAAAUCAUGAAAAAUAGAAAACGGGUUGUCUUGACACGAAACUUCACAUGAAGGCUUAGGGGACCAUUGUAUGAAUUUUAAAGCCAUAAAAAUGGUAUUGGCAUCGCAGAAAUAUGAAGAUGUGCUUGAACCCACCUACCACCCGUUCGAUCCCCGGCUUGUGCAUCCUGCCUCUCUGGUCGGCUGAGCGCCCUCAUGCUCGUUUCAUGGGUUGACUUAGGCAUAUGGAGUUUAUCCCCAGUCUAAGCAUACAGAGUUCAUUCCCAAUCUAAGAUCAGAUCGGACCGAGGGUUACGGCAGCAGGAUCAACAGCACACGGGGGGACUGGGCCAAUCCCCAGUUUACGUAUUCUGCCUACCCGACCGGCUGAGUGCCUGCACGCCCGUUUCGUGGGUUGGCUUAGGCAUAGGGAGUUCAUUCCAUGUCUAAGCCCCAGCCGGACCGAGGGUUGUGGCAGCGAGACCGGCAGCACGUGGAGGGGGACCGGGCUAAUCCCCAACUUGCGCAUUAUGCCUCUCUGGCCUGCUUAGCGCCUGCACGCUCGUUUCGUGGGUUGACUUUGGCAUACAGAGUUCAUUCCCAGUCUAAGAUUGGACUAGACCGAGGGCUACGGCAGCAAGAUCGAUAGCACGCAGGGGGGACCGGGCCGAUCCCGGCUUGUGCAUUCUGCCUCUCUGGCCGGUUGAGCGCCCACACGCUCAUUUCGUGACUUCAUUCCAUGUCUAAGCAUACAGAGUUCAUUCCCAGUAUAAGAUUUUGAGCCAGGGUGCACAUGCUGGGCUCUGGCAUGUGCUGGUGCUACAUUUUUUUCGCCCGGGGCACCAUCAUCGGAGCAUCGCCGGAGAGCCUAACCGACGGCAUUGGGGGUUCCGGCGAUUGGGGGGCCGGGGGGGUGUGCGCACAUGAUGUGCGAUGGGUUCUGGUCCUUGGCCCUUAUAUUGGCCCCCUAUCCCUCAUCAAACCUCCAGAACUCACACCCCCUUAAAGAGCAUUUGAGAUUUUAUAGGUUUCCUACCAAUAGCCAUUAAAGUGUCUGAAAUGGGGACACUUUUUUCAAACGGUCACAAAAUCUUCUCCACUUCGUGUUUUUAGCUAAAUUUUUUUGUGCAUGCCAAAAAAAAGACAAGGAUCACCUCUUCCAAUUUUAGGGAUAAAACUCUCUCUAAAAAAAUUUUAAAACAUCCCGAACCAUAAAAAGUUUUAAAAAUCGUGAAAAAUAGAAAACGAGUCGUCUUGCCAUGAAACUUCACAUGAAGGCUUAGGGGACCAUUGUAUGAAUUUACAAGUGAUAAAAAUGGCAAUUGCAUGGCAGAAAUAUGAAGAUGUGCUUGAACCCACCUACCACUCGUUCGAUCCCCGGCUUUCGCAUCUUGCCUCUCUGGUCGGCUGAACGCCUGCACGUUCGUUUCGGGGGUUGACUUAGGAAUAUGAAGUUCAUCCACAGUCUAAGCAUACAGAGUUCAUUCCCAGUCUAAGCAUACAGAGUUCAUUCCCAAUCUAAGAUCGGACCGGACCGAGGGUUGCGGCAGCAAGAUUGACAGCACGCAGGGGGGACCCGGCCGAUCCCCGGCUUGCGCAUUCUGCCUUUCCGGCCGGUUGAGCGCCCAUACACCCGUUUCAUGGGUUGGCUUAGGCAUAGGGAGUUCAUUCCAUGUCUAAGCCCCAACCGGACCGAGGGUUGUGGCAGCAAGACCGACACCACGCAGAGAGGGAUCAGGCCGAUCCUCGGCUUGUGCAUUUUGCCUCUCUGGUCGGUUGAGCGUCCGCACGCUCGUUUCAUGGGUUGACUUAGGCAUACCGAGUUCAUUCCUAGCCUAAGAUUGAAUCGGACCGAGGGUUGCGAUAGCAAGAUCGACAACACGUAGGGGGGACCGAGCCAAUCCCCGUCUUGCACAUUCUGCCUCUUCGAUCGGCUGAGUGCCCGCACGCUCGUUUCGUGUGUUGGCUUAGGCAUAGUUCAUUCCAUGUCUAAGCAUACGGAGUUCAUUCCCAGUCUAAGAUCAGACCAGACUGAGGGUUUCGGCAAUAGGACCAGCAGCAAGAUCUGCAGCACGCAGGGGGGGAUCGGGCUGAUCCCCGGCUUGUGCAUUCUGCCUCUUCGCCCGACUGAGCGCCCGUACACUCGUUUCAUGGGUUGGCUUAGGCAUACGAAGUUCAUUCCAUGUCUAAGCCCUAGCCGGAUCGAGGGUUGUGGCAGCAGGACUGGCAGCAGGAUCGACAGCACGCAAAAGGGGACCAGGCAGAUCCUCGGCUUACGCAUUAUGCCUCUCCGGCCGGCUGAGUGCGCGCACGCUCGUUUCGUGGGUUGACUUAGCCACACGGAGUUCAUCCCCAAUCUAAGCAUAUGUAGUUCAUUCCUAGUCUAAGAUCGGGCCGAACUGAGGGUUACAGCAGUAGGUUCGGCAGCACGCAUGGGGGAUUAGGCCGAUCCCUGGCUUACGGAUUCUGGCUCUCCGGCUGGUUGAGCACCCGCACGCCCGUUUCAUGGUUGGCUUAGACAUAGGGAGUUCAUUCCAUGUCUAAGCCCCAACCAGAUCGAGGGUUGUGGCAGCGGGACUGAUAGCACGCAGGGGGGACCGGGUCGAUCCCUGGCUUGUGCAUUAUGCCUCUUUGAUCGACUCAGCACCCGCACGCUCGUUUCGUGGGUUGACUUAUGCAUACAGAGUUAAUUCUCAGUCUAAGAUUGGACCGGACAGAGGGUUAUGGCAGCAGGAUCGACAGCACGCAGGGGGGACCGGGUCGAUCCCCAGCUUACGCAUUCUACCUCUCUGAUCGGCUGAGCACCCGCACGCCCGUUUCGUGGGUUGCCUUAGGUAUAGGGAGUUGAUUCCAUGUCUAAGCCCCAGCCAGAUCGAGGGUUGUGGUAGCGGGACCGGUAGCAUGCAGAGGGGGACCAAGCCGAUCCCCAGCUUGCACAUUAUGCCUCUUCGACUGGCUCAGUGCUCGUACGCUCAUUUCGUGGUUUGACUUAUGCAUAUGGAGUUCAUUUCCAGUCUAAGAUCAGAUCGGACUGAGGGUUGCGGUAGCAGGAUCGGUAGCACGUAGGGGGGAUCGGGUCGAUCCCCGUCUUGUGCAUUCUGCCUCUCCGGUCGGUUGAGCACCUGCACGCCCAUUUCAUGGGUUGGCUUAGGCAUAGGGAGUUCAUUCCAUGUCUAAUCCCUAGCCAGAUCGAUGGUUGUGGCAGCGAGACCAGCAGCACACAGAGGCAGACCAGGCCAAUCCCCGGCUUGCGCAUUAUGCCUCUUCGACCGACUCAGUGCCCGCAGGCUCGUUUCAUGGGUUGACUUAUGCAUAUGAUGUUCUUUCCUAGUCCAAGAUCAGAUCAGACUGAGGGUUUUGGCAAUAGGAUCGACAGCACUCACGGGGGAUCGGGCUGAUCCCCAGCUUGUGCAUUCUACCUCUCCGGCCGACUGAGCGCCCGUACGCUCGUUUCAUGGGUUGGCUUAGGCAUACGGAGUUCAUUCCAUGUCUAAGCAUACGGAGUUCAUUCCCAAUCUAAUAUUUUGAGCCACGGUGCACAUGCUGGGCUCGGCCAUGUGCUGGUGCCUCAUUUUUUUCGCCCAGGGCACCAUCGUCGGAGCCUAACCGGUGGCAUUGGGGGUUCCGACGAUUGGGGGUCCGGGGGGUGUGCACACAUGAUGUGCGAUGGGUGCUGGUACUUGGCCCUUAUAUUGGCCCCCUAUCCUUCUUCAAACCUUAAGAACUCACACCCCUUUAAAGAGCAUUUGAGAUUUUAUAGGUUUGCUGCCAGUAGCCAUUAAAGUGUCUGAAAUGGGGACACAUUUUUCAAACGGUCACAAAAUCUUCUCCACUUCGAGCUUUUAGCUGAAUUUUUUUGUGCAUGCCAACAAAAAUACAAGGAUCACCUCUACUAAAUUUGGGGACAAAAAUCUUUCUAAAAAAAUUUUAAAAAAUCCCGAACCACAAAAAGUUUUGAAAAUCAUGAAAAAUAGAAAACAGGUUGUCUUGCCACGAAACUUCACAUGAAUGCUUAGGGGACCAUUGUAUGAAUUUAAAAGCCAUAAAAAUGGUAUUGGCAUGGCAGAAAUAUGAAGAUGUGUUUGAACCCACCUACCACCCGUUCGAUCCCCAGCUUGCGCAUCCUGCCUCUCUGGUCGACUGAGCGCCCGCACGCUCGUUUCGUGGGUUGACUUAGGCAUACGGAGUUUAUCCCCAAUCUAAGCAUACAGAGUUCAUUCCCAAUCUAAGAUCAGACCAGACCGAGGGUUGCAGCAGCAGGAUCGACAGCACGCAGAGGGGACCGGGCCAAUCCCCGGCUUGCGCAUUCUGCCUACCCGACCGGCUGAGCGCCUGCACGCCCGUUUCGUGGGUUGGCUUAGGCAUAGGGAGUUCAUUCCAUGUCUAAGCCCCAGCCGGACCGAGGGUUGUGGCAGCGGGACUGACAGCACGUGGUGGGGGACCGAGCUAAUCCCCGGCUUGCGCAUUAUGCCUCUCUGGCCGGCUCAGUGCUUGCACGCUCAUUUCGUGGGUUGACUUAGGCAUACGGAGUUCAUUCCCAGUCUAAGAUUGGACCAGACCGAGGGCUGUGGCAGCAAGAUCGAUAGCAUGCAGGGGGGAUUGGGCCGAUCCCCGACUUGUGCAUUCUGCCUCUCUGGCCGAUUGAGCGCCCACACGCUCAUUUCGUGAGUUCAUUCCAUGUCUAAGCAUACGGAGUUGAUGCCAACAAAAAUCUUCUCCACAAAAUCUUCUCCACUUCGAGUUUUUAGCUAAAUUUUUUUGUCCAUGCCAACAAAAAUACAAGCAUCACCUCUACCAAAUAUGGGGACAAAACUCUUUCUAAAAAAAUUUUAAAAAAUCUCGAACAGCAAAAAGUUUUAAAAAUCAUGAAAAAUAGAAAAUGGGUCGUCUUGCCAGGAAACUUCACAUGAAGGCUUAGGGGACCAUUGUAUGAAUUUAAAAGCCAUAAAAAUGGCAUUGGCAGGGUAGAAAUAUGAAGAUGUCCUUGAACCCACCAACCACCCGUUCGAUCCCGGCUUACGCAUCCUGCCUCUCUGGUCGACUGAGCGUCCGUACGCUCGUUUCGUGGGUGGACUUAGGCAUACGGAGUUCAUCCCUAAUCUAAGCCUAUAGAGUUCAUUCCUAAUCUAAGAUCGGAUCAGAUUGACGGUUGCGGCAGCAGGAUCGGCAGCACGCAGGGGGGAUCGGACCGAUCCCCGGCUUGCGCAUUCCGCCUCUCCGGGCGGCUGAGUGCCCGCACGCCCGUUUCAUGGGUUGGCUUAGGCAUAGGGAGUUCAUUCCAUGUCUAAGCCCCAGUCGGACCGAAGGUUAUGGCAGUGGGACCGGCAGCACGAAGCGAGGGACCGGGCCGAUCCCUGGCUUGUGCUUUAUGCCUCUCCGAUCGGCUUAGCGUCCGUAUGCUCGUUUCAUGGGUUGAAUUAGGCAUACGAAGUUCAUUCCUAGUCUAAGAUCAGACCUAAUCGAGGGUUGCGGCAGUAGGAUCGAUAGUACGUAGGGGGACCAAGUUGGUCCUCGACUUACGCAUUCUGCCUCUCCAACCGGUUGAGCACCCGUACGCUCGUUUCAUGGGUUGGCUUAGGCAUACGUAGUUCAUUCCAUGUCUAAGAAUAUGAAGUUCAUUCCCAGUCUAAGAUUGGAUCAGACCGAAGGAUGCAAUAGCAGGAUCAGUAGCACAUAGGGAGGAUCGGACUGAUCCCCAGCUUGUGCAUUCUGCCUCUUUGAUCGGCCUUUCUGGUCGGCUGAGCGUAAACACGCUUGUUUUGUGGGUUGGCUUAGGCAUACGGAGUUCAUUCCAUGUCUAAGCAUACAGAGUUCAUUCCCAGUCUAAGAUCAGAUCGAACCAAGGGUUAUGACAGUAGGAUCAACAGCACGCAUGGGGGGACCGGGCUGAUCCCCUUAUUGCGCAUUCUACCUCUCCGGCCCACUGAGUGCCUGCAUGCUUGUUUCGUGGGUUGGCUUAGGCAUACAGAGUUCAUUCCAUGUCUAAGCCCCAGCCGGACCGAGGGUUGUGGCAGCAGGACUGGCAGCGGGAUUGACAGCACGCAAAGGGGGACCAGGCUGAUCCUCAGCUUGUGCAUUAUGCCUCUCCGAUCGGCUGAGCACCUGUAUCGAGGGUUGUGGUAGCAUGAUCAACAGCACGUAGGGGGGACCAGGCUGAUCCCCGGCUUGUGCAUUCUGCUUCUCCGACCGGCUGAGCACCAGUACGCCCGUUUCGUGGGUUAGCUUAGGCAUAGGGAGUUCAUUCUAUGUCUAAGCCCCAACCGAAUCGAGGAUUGUGGCAGUGGGACUGGCAGCACGCAGAGGGGGACCGAGCUGAUCCCUGGCUUGCGUAUUAUGCCUUUCCGACCGGCUUAACGCCCGAACGCUCAUUUCAUGGGUUGACUUAGGCAUACGGAGUUCAUUCCCAGUCUAAGAUUGGAUCAGAUCGUGGGUUGCAGCAGCAAGAUCGACAGCACGCAGGGGGGACUGGGACGAUCCUUGGCUUACGCAUUCUACCUCUCUGACUGACUGAGCGCCCGUUCGCUCGUUCCAUGGGUUGGCUUAGGCAUACGGAGUUCAUUCCAUGUCUAAGCAUACGGAGUUCAUUCCUAGUCUAAGAUCAGACCGGACCGAGGGUUGCGACAGUAGGACUAGCAGCAGGAUCAGUAGCAUGCAGUGAGGGAUCGGGCCGAUCCCCAACUUGCGCAUUCCGCCUCUUCGGCCGGCUGAGCGCCCGCAUGCUCGUUUCGUGGGUUGGCUUAGGCAUACAGAGUUCAUUCCAUGUCUAAGCCCCAGUCGGAUUGAGGGUUGUGGCAGUAGGACCAGCAGUGGGAUCGACAAGACGCAGAGGGGGAUCAGGCUGAUCCUCGACUUGCACAUAUGCCUCUCCGAUCGAUUGAGCACCCGCACACUCAUUUCGUGGGUUGACUUAGGCAUACAGAGUUCAUCCCCAGUUUAAGCAUACGGAGUUAAAUCUCAGUCUAAGAUCAGACCGGGCCGAUCCCUGGCUUGCACAUUCUGUCUUUCCGGUCGGCUGAGCGCCCGCACGCCCGUUUCAUGGGUUGGCUUAGGCAUAGGGAGUUCAUUUCGUGUCUAAGCCCCAGUCAGACCAAGUGUUGAGGCAGUGGGAUCGGUAGCACGCAGAGGGGGAUCGAGCCGAUCCCCGGCUUGCGCAUUAUGCCUCUUCGACCGGCUCAGUGUCCGAACGCUCAUUUCAUGGGUUGACUUAGGCAUACGGAGUUCAUUCCCAGUCUAAGAUCGGACUGGACUGAGGGUUGCGGUAGCAGGACCAGCAGCAGGAUCUACAGCACGCAGGGGGAUUGGGUUGAUCCCUGACUUACGCAUUCUGCCUCUCCGGUCAGCCUCUUCAGCCUACUGAGCGCCCGCACGCUCGUUUCAUGGGUUGACUUAGGCAUACGGAGUUCAUCCCCAGUCUAAGCAUACGGAGUUCAUUUCCAGUCUAAGAUCGGAUCGGACUGAGGGUUGCAGCAGCAAGACCAGCAGCAGGAUCGGCAGCACACAAGGGGGACAAGGUCGAUCCCCAACUUGCGCAUUCUGCCUCUCCAGUCGGCUGAGUGCCUGCAUGCUCGUUUCAUGGGUUGGCUUAGGCAUACGGAGUUCAUUCCAUGUCUAAGCAUACGGAGUUCAUUCCCAAUCUAAGAUUUUGAGCCACGGUGCACAUGCUAGGCUCGGGCAUGUGCUGGUGCCACCUUUUUUUCACUCGGGGCACCAUCACCGGAGAGCCUAACCGGUAGCAUUGGGGGUUCCGAUGAUUGGGGGGGCUGGAGGGUGUGCACACAUGAUGUGCGAUGGGUGCUAGUACUUGUGUCACGAGCUCCGACCUUAGACUAAAAAAUCGUGCGGCCUUAGGCUUGGAAUCUCUUCGUUUUUGCCUAAGUCAGCCUAAAACACAAGCGUGCAGGCACUAGAACAACGGGAAGGGCUGAUUUUGCAAGUUAAAGAAAAACAGGAUAAGAAGGUAAAAUUCUGGAAAUGCUCUUGUAUUCACUGAAACAGAAGUGUUUGAUGGUGUACAAAUAAGGGAGGAGCAGCCCUCUAUUUAUAGUUGAGGCUCCAGCUUACACUUAAUGGUAAUAUCCCUAGAAUAAAGGCUAAAAUCAUGGGAUUAUACAGAUUACAAUCAAUCAAGACCUCCUUCUCAUAUGAGGCCCUUCUCAUCCUCAUGGAACGGCUUGAGCAUGCUCACAUGGAACAUCGAGUGUACCCUCAGCUUGGGUGGCAUAUCCAACUUGUAGGCAACCUUGCCUACCCUCUUGACUACUCGAAAAGGUCUCUCAUACCUUCGGACUAGGCCUUUGUGCAGUUCCCUAUGGUGCACAAUGGGAUGCAGCUUCACCAACACCAAGUCUCCAACCUGGAACUGCACGUCCUUCCUAUUCUGGUCUGCCCACUUCUUCGACCUCUUGGCUGCCUGGUGUAGACAAACUCUGGCCAAGUCAGUUUGCUCCUGCCAUGCCUUGGCAAACUUGUAUACUACUGGAUUCGGCCCUGUAUAACCUGCAGCAAUCGAACCGGGUGUUAGUGGUUGUUACCCUGUCACAACCUCAAAUGGGCUCUGGUUCGUUGCCUCGCUCCUUUGUAAGUUGUAGGAAAACUAUGCAAUAUCUAGCAGCUUUGGCCAGUCCCUUUGUGUGGCACUCACAUAGUGCCUGAGGUAGACUUCCAAUAGUCCAUUCACUCAUUCUGUCUACCUAUCGGUCUGCGGAUGCAUACUGGUGGAAAAGUUCAAGUCUGACCCCAACAACUUGAACAACUCAGUCCAGAACUUGCCCGUGAAAUGCCCGUCCCGAUCAAUAACAAUGGUCCUCGGCACUCCCCAGUACUUAACCAUGUUCUUCAAGAACAAUCGAGCUGCCUCUUCGGCUGGGCACUCCUUGGUUGCUGGAAUGAAGAUUCCAUACUUGGAAAACCUGUCCACCACUACCAUGAUGCUUCCAAACCCUUCUGCUUUGGGUAGACAGACUAUAAAUUCUAGAGAAACACUCUCCCAUGGUCAUUUUGGCACUGGCAAUGGCUCCAAGAGACUACCUGGUUUCUUGAGCUCCACCUUGUCCUGUUGGUACACAAGACAAGUUUUCACAUAGGCCUCCACAUCGUCCCUCAUGUCCGGCUAGUAGUAUCGGUCCUCGAUCAACGCCAAGGUACGGCUCACUCUGGGGUGUCCAGCCUACCUUGAAUCAUGGCAUUUUUACAAAACUUCCUUGCGGAGCUUCUCGUGCUGUGGCACAAAUAGUCUACUUCCCUUGGUGUACAGCAAGCCAUCCUGCAACCAAAACCGCCUAGUCUUACCUUGCUGGGCGUACUCCAUCAAAGCCUUGGCUGUAGGAUCAUGCGCAAGUCCCUCCUUGAUGCGCGGCACCAGUGACCCCUCUAGUUGGCUAAUGGCAGCAAGGUUAGCCUUCCUGCUCAGGAUGUCUGCCACUAGGUUCACCCGCCCCGGCUUGUACUCCAUAUGGAAAUCAAAUUCUGUAAGAAAAUCUUGCCAUCUCGCCUGCUUGGGGGAUAGCUUCUUCUGUAUCUGGAAGUAGCUGGUCGUCACAUUGUCUAUCCUAACCAUGAACCUCGACCCCAAUAGGUAAUGGCACCAAGUGCGCAAGUAGUGCACCAUUGCAGUCAUCUCCUUCUCUUGGAUUGUGUACUUACGCUCAGUCUCAUUCAGCUUCCUACUCUCGAACGCGACUGGACGUCCCUCCUACAUCAACACGCCCUCUAUGGCAAAGUCUGAUGCAUCCGUAUGCACCUCAUACGGCUUGGCAUGGUCUGGCAAGGCCAAGAUUGGCUCCUCGGUCACAGCCCGCUUCAACCUGUCAAAGGCUUCCUGGCACCCUGUGCUCCACUCUCAUGCUUUCCCUUUCUUGAGCAAGUCAAUCAAUGGCGUGGCUAUUGCUGAGUGACCUUUGAUGAAGCGCCUGUAGUAGUUGACCAGCCCAAGGAAUGAUCUCAACUUAGUGACCUUGGCUGGCGGUUGCCACUCUAGGAUGGCGUGUAUCUUGCCUUCAUCCAUGCGUAUCCUGCCACUUCCCAUUAUGUGGCCAAGGAACGGGAUCUCCUGCUAGGUGAAUGAGCACUUCUCCCUCUUGACAAAUAGCUUGUGCACCCGCAACACCUCGAACACCUGUCUCAAGUGGUCUACAUGCUCUCCCAAAGUCUGGCUGUAGAUCACAAUGUCAUCCAAAUAAACCACAACAAACCGAUCAAGGAAUGACUAAAGUACCUUGUUCAUAAGGGUGCAGAAUGUUGCUGGGGCAUUCGUGAGUCCGAAAGGCAUCACCAAGAACUCAUACGAACCAUACCAAGUGACACAUGCUGUCUUUGGCUCAUCUCCCUCCGUGAUCCUGACUUGAUAGUAGCCUGACCUCAAAUCCAGCUUAGUGAACCACCUUGCGCUCCCAAGUUGAUUGAACAAGUCCGUAAUGAGUGGGAUGGGGUACUUGUUCUUGAUGGUCAGCUUGUUCAAAGCACGGUAGUCUAUGCACAGUCACAACGACCCAUCAUGCUUGUGCUGAAAUAGAACCGGUGCACCAUAGGCUACCUUCGAUGGCCUGAUGAAGCCAACAUCAACUAACUCUUUGAGCUGCUUCCUCAACUCCUCCAACUCUGGUGGAGACAUUCGGUAAGGGGCUCUAGUUGGUGGCUUGGCCUCAGACACCAGCUCGAUCUUGUGGUCCACCUCCCUCUUAGGUGGUAGCUUGCUAGGUAACUUUGAGGGCAUCACAUCACUAAAGGUCUUCAGCACCUUUAGCACCUCCAAGGGUGACUCGAUCUCCUUCUCCCUUGGCUUAUCAUAUUUCAGGGCUGCCAAAAAGGUGUCUUCCUAUCUGCUUACCACCUUGGUAAAUUGGAUGGCUGACACCACCCGUGACCCAACUCCAGACCCUCUCCUCAAUGGCACUAGGCAUUGGCACCAUGCAUCCAAGAUGCAAACACAAUCGACAAAAGGCACAAGGAGGGCAUUAAUCCAAACAAGGAAAUCUAACCCAAUCACAAACUCAUAGUCGUCAAGGGGUAUUACUUCAAUGGUCUCCUUGCCUUUCCAGUCUCCAAGCUGUAACUCCACUCCCCGCGCUACUCUAAUGGUUGGAACUUCCUUGAAGUUCACCAUUUUGAUGGUACCAGUCCUUUUCUACACCUUUAGUCCGAGCUUCCGGGCUCUAUCACCUGAAAUAAAAAGAUGUGAGGCACCUGUGUCCAGCAGUGUGCUCACCUUCUGACCCACAACCAUCAAAUCCGUAAACAUCAAGCCCUUUGGCUUGCGGCUCCCCUUACUCUGGACAGCAUUGAGCACCAACGACCCAAGCUUUGUUGCCCUUGACUCUGGCUCCUCGUCAGACUCCUUGUCUAUAGUAGCCAGCUUGCCCUUCUACGGGUAAUUACGUGUUAUGUGGCUCCCUCCACAUAGGUAGCAUGCUAGUGGCUCUCGGUCCCCUUUUGCUUUCCACUUAUCUGCUGGUGGCUUCCUCUCGCCAUCCUUGGUUGAACGGUCUUGGUCUCCAUCCUUGGACUCCCGGUCACAGUCCUUCCCCUUGGACUGCUUCUUUUGGUCCCUAUCGUCCCUACCCUUACCCUUGGGCUUGGUAGACUCGAACUUGUUCAGAGGCUUGAACUCUAUCAAGGCCUCGGCAGUAGUCAUGGCUUUAGCCAAGUCAUGAACUCCUCUCUUUUGUAGCUCAUGCUUCACCCACGGCUUCAGCCCAUCCAUGAAAGCAAAUAAGGCAUCCUUCUCACCUAGAUCUGAGAUCUGUAGCAUCAGUUCAGAGAAUUUUUGGACAUACUCCCUUAUGUCCCCUUGCUGGCUCAGCUUGCGUAACUUUGCCCGUGCCUUAUCAUCGGCAUACUCCGGGUAAAAUUGUUCUCUGAACUCUUUUUGGAACUCUGGCCAGGUUCCAAUCUUGGCGCUCCCAUGCCUGACAUCAUCACACCUGUGCCUCUACCACAAUAAGGCUACAUCAGUGAGAUACAUAGCAGCGGUGCUUACCUUUAUCGCCUCGUCUUGCAUGCCCAUGGCCUGAAAGUACUACUCCAUACCCCAAAGGUAGUUAUCUACUUCCUUGGCCGCCCUAGUCCCCUUGAACUCCUUAGGCUUGGGGACAUCCAAUCUGGACUUGGACACUCCAGCAAACAUGCCAUUCCCAAUGGCAGUCUUGCAAGCAACGAGCUCACUGGUAAGCUCCUCCAUCCGCUGGUGCAUGGCCUCCAUGACAUCGCGCAAGGUCAGCACUUCAGCCUCCAAGGUCUGAUUCUUUUGGGUGAACACAUCCAAGCCUUUGCUGAGAGCAGCUUACAGCUCACUUUGGAUCUCCUCCCCCAUGGAGUCUAGCGAUGCAAUGUGAGUCUCUACCCCCUCAAGCUUCUCCCCUAUGUCACCCAUGGUCACCUCCACCUUGGCCAGCCUACCAUCCAUGGUAGACCAGAUAUCUCUAGAACUGGCUUUCCUCCCUCUUUCACGCCCAUGCUCCUGGGCCUCUGGUUGUUGGUUAGCAGCGUCAAUUUGGGAUGCCAUCUUCUCUAACCUACACAACACAAACAUGCAGAAUCGAACUUGCUCUGAUACCAACUGUCACGGGCUCCGACCAUAGACUCAGAAACCGUGCAGACUUAGGCUUGGAAUCUCCUCCUUUAUGCCUAAGUCAGCCUAAAACACAAGCGUACAGGUACUAGAACAACAGGAAGGGCUGAUUACGCAAGUUAAAGAGAAACAGGAUAAGAAGGCAGAAUUCUGGAAAUGCUCUUGUAUUCACUGAAACAGAAGUGUUUGAUGGUGUACAAAUGAGGGAGGAGCAGCCCUCUAUUUAUAGUUGAAGCUCCAGCUUACACUUAAUGGCAAUAUCCCUAGAAUAAAGGCUAAGAUCAUGGGAUUAUACAGAUUAUAAUCAAUCAGGAUGCUAACUCCUGAUUUUAGGGUCAACCAAAUCUGCCAGGAUGCUGUUGCUGAUCCUGCUUGCUUCCAGAAGCUUCCCUCGCGUGUCCAGCACCUUGGGCCCUUCUGGAUGUAGUGCGGGCAGCAUCUAUGCCAGGCCUUGGUCUCACGGGCUGGCCUGCAAGUUGGGCGGGCGUUCUGAACUCGUUUGCUAGGCUUUGCGCGCAGAUACCCGCCAGCACGCCUGGUCUACGGGCCUCAACCUCUGGCUCGCCUGCUGGUGCACCUGUUGUGCCUGGUGCGCCCGCCCAGUGUGUGACACUUGGCCCUUAUAUUGGUCCCCUAUCCCUCAUCAAACCUCGAGAACUCACACCCCCUUAAAGAGCAUUUGAGAUUUUAUAACUUUGCUGCAAGUAGCCAUUAAAGUGUCUAAAAUGGGGACACUUUUUUCAAACGGUCACAAAAUCUUCUCCACUUCGAGUUUUUAGCUGAAUUUUUUUUUGCAUGCCAACAAAAAUACAAGGAUCCCCUCUACCAAAUUUGGGGACAAAAAGCUUUCUAAAAAAAGUUUAAAAAAUCCCGAACCGUAAAAUGUUUCGAAAAUCAUGAAAAAUAGAAAACGGGUCGUCUUGCCAUGAAACUUCACAUGAAGGAUUAGGGGACCAUUGUAUGAAUUUACAAGCCAUAAAAAUGGCAUUGGCAUGGCAGAAAUAUGAAGAUGUGCUUGAACCCACCUACCACCCGUUCGAUCCCCGGCUUGCGCAUCCUGCCUUUCUAGUCGACUGAGCGCCCGCACGCUCGUUUCGUGGGUUGACUUAGGCAUAUGGAGCUCAUCCCCAGUCGAAGCAUACAGAGUUCAUUCCCAGUCUAAGAUCGGACCAGAUUGAGGGUUGCGGUAGCAGGAUCGGCAGCACGCAGGGGGGACCGGGCCAAUCCCCUGCUUGUGCAUUCUGCCUCUCUGACCUACUGAGCGCCUGCACGCCCGUUUCGUGGGUUGGCUUAGGCAUAGGGAGUUCAUUCCAUGUCUAAGCCCCAACCAGACCGAUGGUUCUGGCAGCGGGACCGACAGCACGCAGAGGGGGACCGGGUCGAUCCUCGGCUUGCUCAUUAUUCCUCUCCGACCGGCUCAGCGCCCGCACACUCAUUUCAUGGUUGACUUUGGCAUACGGAGUUUAGUCCCAGUCUAAGCUCGGAUCGGAUCAAGGGUUACGGUAGCAGGACCAGCAGCAGGAUUGGCAACAUGCAGGGGGGACCGGGUCGAUCCCUGGCUUGCGCAUUCUACCUCUUCGCCCGGCUGAGCGCCUGCAUGCUCGUUUCAUGGGUUGGCUUAGGCAUACGGAGUUCAUUCCAUGUCUAAGCCCUAGCCGGACUGAGGGUUGUGGCAGCAAGACCGGCAGUGGGAUUGGCAGCAUGCAGAGGGGGACCGGGCUGAUCCUCGGCUUGCACGUUAUGCCUCUCCGGCCGGCUGAGUGCCCGCACGCUCGUUUCAUGGGUUGACUUAGGCAUGCGGAGUUCAUUCCAUGUCUAAGCAUAUGGAGUUCAUUCCCAGUCUAAGAUUUUGAGCCAUGGUGCACAUGCUGGGCUCAGGCAUGUGCUGGUGCCACAUUUUUUUUGCCCGGGGCACCAUCGCCGGAGCAUCACUGGAGAGCCUAACCGGCGGUAUUGGGGGUUCCGACGAUUGGGGGGGCCGGGGGGUGUGCGCACAUGAUAUACGAUGGGUGCUGGUACUUGGCCCUUAUAUUGGCCCCCUAUCCCUCAUCAUACCUCGAGAACUCACACCCCCUUAAAGAGCAUUUGAGAUUUUAUAGGUUUGCUGCCAGUAGCCAUUAAAGUAUCUGAAAUGGGAACACUUUUUUCAAACGGUCAUAAAAUCUUCUCCACUUCGAGUUUUUAGCUGAAUUUUUUUGUGCAUGCCAAAAAAAUACAAGGAUCACCUCUACCAAAUUUGGGGACAAAACUCUUUCUAAAAAAAUUUUAAAAAAUCCCGAACCGCAAAAAGUUUUGAAAAUCAUGAAAAAUAGAAAACGGGUUGUCUUGCCAUGAAACUUCACAUGAAGGCUUAGGGGACCAUUGUAUGAAUUUAAAAGCCAUAAAAAUGGUAUUGGCAUGGCAAAAAUAUGAAGAUGUGCUUGAACCCACCUACCACCCGUUCGAUCCCCGGCUUGCGCAUCCUGCCUCUCUAGUCGGCUGAGCGCCCGCACGCUCGUUUCGUGGGUUGACUUAGGCAUAUGGAGCUCAUCCCCAGUCGAAGCAUACAGAGUUCAUUCCCAAUCUAAGAUCGAACUAGAUUGAGGGUUGCGGUAGCAGGAUCGGCAGCACGCAGGGGGGACCAGGCCAAUCCCCUGCUUGUGCAUUCUGCCUCUCCGACCGACUGAGUGCCUGCACGCCCGUUUCGUGGGUUGGCUUAGGCAUAGGGAGUUCAUUCCAUGUCUAAGCCCCUACCAGACUGAUGGUUCUGGCAGUGGGACCGGCAGCACGCAGAGGGGGACCGGGUCGAUCCUCGGCUUGCACAUUAUUCCUCUUCGACCGGCUCAGCGCCCGCACACUCAUUUCGUGGGUUGACUUUGGAAUACGGAGUUCAUUCCCAGUCUAAGAUCGGAUCGGAUCAAGGGUUACGACAGCAGGACCAGCAGCAGGAUCGAACAGCACGCAGGGGGGACCGAGCCGAUCCCUGACUUGCGCAUUCUGCCUCUUCGCCCGGCUGAGCGCCCGCACGCUCGUUUUGUGGGUUGGCUUUGGCAUACGGAGUUCAUUCCAUGUCUAAGCCCUAGCUGGACGAGGGUUGUGGCAGCAAGACCAGCAGCGGGAUUGGCAGCAUGCAGAGGGGGACCGGGCUGAUCCCCGGCUUGCGCAUUAUGCCUCUCAUACCGGCUGAGCGCCGCACGCUCGUUUCGUGGGUUGACUUAGGCAUACGGAGUUCAUUCCAUGCCUAAGCAUAUGGAGUUCAUUCCCAGUCUAAGAUUUUGAGCCAUGGUGCAGAUGCUGGGCUCGGGCAUGUGCUGGUGCCGCAUUUUUUUUUUGCCUGGGGCACCAUCGCCGGAGCAUCACUGGAGAGCCUAACCGGCGGCAUCGGGGGUUCCGGCAAUUGGGGGGGCUGGGGGGUGUGCGCACAUGAUGUGCGAUAGGUGCUGGUACUUGGCCCUUAUAUCGGCCCCCUAUCCCUCAUCAUACCUCGAGAACUCACACCCCCUUAAAGAGCAUUUGAGAUUUUAUAGGUUUGCUGCCAGUAGCCAUUAAAGUAUCUGAAAUGGGAACACUUUUUUCAAACGGUCACAAAAUCUUCUCCACUUCGAGUUUUUAGCUGAAUUUUUUUGUGCAUGCCAAAAAAAAUACAAGGAUCACCUCUACCAAAUUUAGGGACAAAAUUCUUUCUAAAAAAAUUUUAAAAAAUCCCGAACCACAAAAAGUUUCAAAAAUCAUGAAAAAUAGAAAAUGGGUCGUCUUAACAUGAAACUUCACAUCAAGGCUUAGGGGACCAUUGUAUGAAUUUACAAGCCAUAAAAAUGGCAUUGGCAUGGCAGAAAUAUGAAGAUGUGCUUGAACCCACCUACCACCCGUUCGAUCCCUGUCUUGCGCAUCCUGCCUCUCUGGUCGGCUGAGCGCCCGCACGCUCGUUUCGUGGGUUAACUUAGGCAUACAGAGUUCAUCCCCAGUCUAAGCAUAUGGAGUUCAUUCCCAGUCUAAGAUCGACCAGAGCGAGGGUUGCGGCAGCAAGAUCGACAGCUCGCAGGGGGGACCAGACCGAUCCCCGCUUGCGCAUUCUCCUCUCCGGUCGGCUGAGCGCCCGCAUGCCCGUUUCGUCGGUUGGCUUAGGCAUAGGGACUUCAUUCCAUGUCUAAGCCCCAUCCGGACCGAGGGUUGUGGCUGCGGGAUCGAAAGCACGCAGAGGGGGACCGGGCCGAUCCCCGACUUGCGCAUUAUGCCUCUUCGGUCAGCUCAGCGCCCGCACGCUCGUUUCAUGGGUUGACUUAGGCAUACGGAGUUCAUUCCCAGCCUAAGAUCGGACCGGACCGAGGGUUGCGGUAGCAGGAUCGAUAGCACGCAGGGGGAUCGAGUCGAUCCCCGGCUUGCGCAUUCUGCCUCUACGGUCGGCUGAGCACCCGCACGCUCGUUUCAUGGGUAGGCUUUGGCAUACAGAGUUCAUUCCAUGUCUAAGCCCCAGUCGGACCGAGGGUUGUGGUAGUAGGACUGACAGCGGGAUCGGCAGCACGCAGAGGGGGACUGGGCUAAUCCCCGGCUUGCGCAUUAUGCCUCUUCGGUUGACCUCUCCGACUGGCUGAACGCCCGCACGCUCAUUUUGUGGGUUGACUUAGGCAUACGGAGUUCAUCCCUAGUCUAAGCAUACAGAGUUCAUUUGCAGUCUAAGAUCGGACUGGACCGAGGGCUGCGGUAGUAGGAUCGAUAGCACGCAGGGGGGACCGGGCCGAUCCCCGACUUGGACAUUCUGCCUCUCCGUCUGACUGAGCACCCACACGCCCCGUUUCGUGGGUUGGCUUAGGCAUAGGGAGUUCAUUCCAUGUCUAAGCCCAGCCAGACCGAGGGUUGUGGCAGUGGGACCGACAGCACGCAAAGGGGGACAGAGCCGAUCCCCGGCCUGCGCAUUAUGCCUAUUCGAUCGGCUCAGCGCCCGCACGCUCAUUUCGUGGGUUAACUUAUGCAUACGAGUUCAUUCCUAGUCUAAGAUCGAAACGGACCGUGGGUUGCAGUAGCAGGAUCGACAGCACACAGGGGGGAUCGGGCGAUCCUCGGCUUACGCAUUCUGCCUCUUCGGUCGGUUGAGCGCCCGCACGUUCGUUUCGUGGGUUGGCUUAGGGAUACAGAGUUCAUUCCAUGUCUAAGCAUACGGAGUUCAUUCCUAGUCUAAGAUUUUGAGCCACGGUGCACAUGCUAGGGUCGAGCAUGUGCUGGUGCCGUAUUUUUUUCGCUCGGGGCACCAUCGUCGGAGCAUCGUCGGAGAGGCUAACCGACGGCAAUGGGGGUUCCGGUGAUUGGGGGGGCCGGGGGGUGUGCACACAUGAUGUGCGAUGGGUGCUGGUACUUGGCCCUUAUAUUGGCCCCCUAUCCCUCAUCAAACCUCGAGAACUCACACCCCCUUAAAGAGCAUUUGAGAUUUUAUAGAUUUGCUGCCAGUAGCCAUUAAAGUGUCUGAAAUGGGGAUACUUUUUUCAAACGGUCACAAAAUCUUCUCCACUUCAAGUUUUUUUAUGCCAACAAAAAUACAAGGAUCACCUCUACCAAAUUUGGGGACAAACCUCUUUCUAAAAAAAUUUUAAAAAAUCUCAAACCGUAAAAAGUUUCAAAAAUCGUGAAAAAUAGAAAAUGGGUCGUCUUGCCACGAAACUUCACAUGAAGGCUUAGGGACCAUUGUAUGAAUUUACAAGCCAUAAAAAUGGCAUUGGCAUGGCAGAAAUAUGAAGAUGUGCUUGAACCCACCUACCACCCGUUCGAUCCUCAGCUUGUGCGUCCUGCCUCUCUGGUCGGCUGAGUGCCCACACGCUCGUUUUGUGGGUUGACUUAGGCAUACGGAGUUCAUCCCCCGUCUAAGCAUACGGAGUUCAUCCCCAGUCUAAGCAUACGGAGUUCAUUCCCAAUCUAAGAUCGGACCGGACUGAGGGUUGCGACAGCAGGAUCGGUAGCACACAGGGGGGAUCGAGCCGAUCCCUGGCUUGCGCAUUCUGCCUCUCCGGUCGGCUGAGCGCCUGCACGCCCGUUUCGUGGGUUGGCUUAGGCAUAGGGAGUUCAUUCCAUGUCUAAGCCCCAGUCGGAUCGAGGGUUGUGGCAGCGGGACCGACAGCACGUAGAGGGUGACCAGGCUGAUCCUCGGCUUGCGCAUUAUGCCUCUCUAGUUGGCUCAACGCCCGCACGCUCAUUUCAUGGGUUGACUUAGGCAUACGGAGUUCAUUCCCAGUCUAAGAUCGGACCAAACCGAGGGUUGCGAUAGUAGGAUCGACGGUACAUAGGGGGGACCGGGCCGAUCCCCGGCUUACGCAUUCUUUCUCUGCGGUCGACUGAGCGCCCGCACGCUCGUUUCAUGGGUUGGCUUAGGCUUACGGAGUUCAUUCCAUGUCUAAGCAUAUGGAGUUCAUUCCCAGUCUAAGAUCGGAUCAGAUCGAGGGUUACGAUAGUAGGACCAACAGCAGGAUUGACAGCACGCAGGGGUGGACUAGGCCGAUCCCCGGAUUGUGCAUUCUGCCUCUUUGACCGGCUGAGCACCCGCACACUCGUUUUGUGGGUUGGCUUAGGCAUACAGAGUUCAUUCCAUCUCUAAACCCCAGCCGGAUCAAAGGUUGUGGUAGCAGGAUCGACAGCGGGAUCGACAGCACGUAGAGAGGAAUCGAGCUGAUCCCCAGCUUGCGUAUUAUGCCUCUCCGACCGACCUCUCCGGUCUACUGAUCGCCCACAUGCUUGUUUCAUGGGUUGACAUAGGCAUACGGAGUUCAUCCCCAGUCUAAGCAUACAAAGUUAAUUCCCAGUCUAAGAUCGAAUCGGAUUAAGGGUUGUGGCAGCAGGAUUGGCAGCACGCAAGGGGGACCGGGCCAAUCCCCGGCUUGUGCAUUCUGCCUCUCCGGUCGGUUGAGCGCCUGUAUGCCCGUUUCCUAGUUUGGCUUAGGCAUAGGGAGUUCAUUCCAUGUCUAAGCCCCAGCCGGACCGAGGGUUAUGGCAGCGGACCGACAGCACACAGAGGGAGAUCGGGCUGAUCCUCGGCUUGCGUAUUAUACCUCUUCGGUCGGCUCAGCGCCCAUACACUCGUUUCGUGGGUUUACUUUAUGCAUAUGGAGUUCAUUCCCAGUCUAAGAUCAGAUCGGACUGAGGAUUGCAGUAGUAGGAUCAAACAGCACAUAGGGGGGGAUCAGGCUGAUCCUGGCUUGCGCAUUCUGUCUCUCCGACCGACUGAGUGCCCGCACGCUCGUUUCGUGGGUUGGCCUUAGGCACACGGAGUUCAUUCCAUGUCUAAGCAUACGGAGUUCAUUCCCAGUCUAAGAUUUAAGCCAUGGUGCACAUAAUGGGCUCGGGCAUGUGCUAGUGUCGCAUUUUUUUCACCCGAGGCACCAUCGCCGAGCAUCGCUGGAGCAUCGUCGGAGCAUCGCUGGAGCAUCGUCGGAGCAUCGCUGGAGCAUCACCAGAGAGCCUAACCGACGGUAUUGGGGGUUCCGACGAUUGGGGGGGCCGGGGGUGUGCGCACAUGAUGUGAGAUUGGUGCUGGUACUUGGCCCUUAUAUUGGCCCCCUAUCUCUCAUCAACUCGAGAACUCAUACCCCCUUAGAGCAUUUGAGAUUUUUAUAGGUUUGCUGCCAGUAGCCAUUAAAGUGUUUGAAAUGGGGACACUUUUUUCAAACGAUCACAAAAUCUUCUCCACUUCGAGUUUUUUAGCUGAAUUGUUUUGUGCAUGCCAAGAAAAAUACAAGGAUCACCUCUACCAAAUUUGGGGACAAAACUCUCUCUAAAAAAAUUUUAAAAAAUCUCGAAUCGCAAAAAGUUUCAAAAAUCGUGAAAAAUAAAAAACGGGUCGUCUUGCCACGAAACUUCACAUGAAGGCUUAGGGGACCAUUGUAUGAAUUUACAAGCCAUAAAAAUGGCAUUGGCAUGGCAGAAAUAUGAAGAUGUGCUUGAACCCACCUACCACCCGUUCGAUCCCCGGCUUGCGCAUCCUACCUCUCUGGUCGGCUGAGCGCCCGCACGCUCGUUUCGUGGGCUGACUUAGGCAUACGGAGUUCAUCUCCAGUCUAAGCAUACAGAGUUCAUUCCCAGUCUAAGAUCAGACCGGACCGAGGUUUGUAGCAGCAGGAUCGACAGCACACAGGGGGGAUCGGGCUGAUCCCCGGCUUGCACAUUCUGCCUCUCCGAUCGGCUGAGCACCAGCAUGCCUGUUUCGUGGGUUGGCUUAGGCAUAGGGAGUUCAUUCCAUGUCUAACCCCCAGUCGAACCGAGGGUUGUGGCAGUGGGAUCGGCAGCACGCGGAGGGGGACCGAAUCGAUCCUCGGCUUGCGCAUUAUGCCUAUCCGAUCGGCUCAGUGCCCGCACGCUCGUUUCGUGGGUUGACUUAGGCAUACGGAGUUCAUUCCCAGUCUAAGAUUGGAUCGGACCGAGAGUUGCAGUAGUAAGAUCGACAGCGCGUAGGAGGGGACCAGGUCGGUCCCCAGCUUGCGCAUUCUACCUCUUAGGUCGGUUGAGGGCCCGCACGCUCGUUUCAUGGGUUGGCUUAGGCAUAUGGAGUUCCUUCCAUGCCUAAGCAUACAGAGUUCAUUCCCAGUCCAAGAUCUGACCGGACUGAGGGUUGCGGCAGUAGGACUAGCAGCAGGAUCGACAGCAUGCAGAGGGACCGGGCUGAUCCCCGGCUUGCGCAUUCUGCCUCUCCGAUCGGUUGAGCGCCCGCACGUUCGUUUCGUGGGUUGGCUUAGGCAUAUGGAGUUCAUUCCAUGUCUAAGCCCCAGCCAGACCGAGGGUUGUGGCAACCGAACUGGCAGCAGGAUCGAUAGCUCGCAGAGGGGGAUCGAGCUGAUCCCCAGCUUACGCAUUAUGCCUCUAUGACCGGCAUUUUCGGUCGGCUGAGCGCCCGCUGGCUUAGGCAUACGGAGUUCAUCCCCAGUCUAAGCAUGCAGAGUUCAUUCCCAGUCUAAGAUCAGACCGGACCGAGGGUUGCGGCAGUAGGAUCGACAGCACGUCGGGGGGACCGGGCUGAUCCCCGACUUGCGCAUUUUGCCUCUACGAUCGGGUAAGCGCCCGUACGCUAGUUUCGUGUGUUGGCUUAGGCAUACGGAGUUCAUCCCAUGUCUAAGCCCCAGCCGGAUCGAGGGUUGUGGCAGCAGGACGGCAGCGGGAUAGGUAGCAUAUAGAGGGGGACUGGGCUGAUCCCUGGCUUGCGCAUUAUGCCUCUCCGGCCGGCUGAGUGCCCGCACGCUCGUUUCGUGGGUUGACUUAGGCAAACAGAGUUCAUCCUCAGUCUAAGCAUACGGAGUUCAUUCCUAGUCUAAGAUUGGACUGGACUGAGGGUUGCGGCAGCAGGAUCGACAGCACGCAAGGGGGACCGGGCCUAUCCCCGACUUACGCAUUCUACCCCUCUGACCGGUUGAGCACCCGCACGUCCGUUUCGUGGGUUGGCUUAGGCAUACAGAGUUCAUUUCAUGUCUAAGCCCCAAUCGGACCGAGGGUUGUGGCAGCGGGACUGGUAGCACACAGAGGGGGACCAGGCCGAUCCUCGGCUUGCGCAUUAUGCCUCUUCGGCCGGCUCAGUGCCCGCACACUCAUUUCGUGGGUUGACUUAUGCAUACGGAUUUCAUUCCUAGUCUAAGAUCAGAUUGGACCAAGGGUUGAGGUAGCAGGAUCGACAGCACGCAGUGGGGGAUGGGCCGAUCCUUGGCUUGCGCAUUCUGCCUCUCCGACCAGCUAAGACCCGCACGCUCGUUUCGUGGGUUGGCUGAGGCAUACGGAGUUCAUUCCAUGUCUAACCAUACGGGGUUCAUUCCCAGUCUAAGAUUUUGAGCCACGGUGCACAUACUGGGCUUGGGCAUGAGCUGGUGCCGCAUUUUUUCCCCCGGGCGCACCAUCGUCGGAGAUCCUAACUGACGGUAUUGGGGGUUUCGGUGAUUGGGGGGCCAGGGGGUGUGCACACCUGAUGUACGAUGGGUGCUGGUACUUGGCCCUUAUAUUGGCCCCUAUCCCUUAUCAAACCUCGAGAACUCAUACCCCCUUAAAGAGCAUUUGAGAUUUUAUAGGUUUGCUGCCAGUAGCCAUUAAAUUGUCUGAAAUGGGGAUACUUUUUUCAAAGGGUCACAAAAUCUUCUCCACUUCGAGUUUUUAGUUGAAUUGUUUUGUGCAUGCCAAAAAAAAUACAAGGAUCACCUCUACCAAAUUUGGGGACAAAAAUCUAUCUAAAAAAAUUUUAAAAAAUCCAAAAUCGUAAAAAGCUUUGAAAAUCGUGAUAAAUAGAAAACGGGUCGUCUUGCCACGAAACUUCACAUGAAGGCUUAGGGGACCAUUGUAUGAAUUUACAAGCCAUAAAAAUGGCAUUGGCAUAGCAGAAAUAUGAAGAUGUGCUUGAACCCACCUACCACCCGUUCGAUCCCCGGCUUGCGCAUUCUGCCUCUCUGGCCGACUGAGCACCCGCACGCUCGUUUCGUGGGUUGGCUUAGGCAUAUGCAGUUCAUUCCAUGUCUAAGCCCCAGUCGGACCGAGGGUUGUGGUAGCAGGACUGGCAGCGGGAUCGACAGCACAUAGAGGGGGAUCGGGCUGAUCCUCGGCUUACGUGUUAUGCCUCUCUGGUCGACUGAGCACCCGCACGCUCGUUUUGUGGGUUGACUUAGGCAUACGGAGUUCAUCCCUAGUCUAAGCAUACGGAGUUCAUUCCCAGUCUAAGAUCAGAUCGGACCGAGGGUUACGGCAGUAGGAUCGGUGACACGCAGGGGGGAAUGGGUCGAUCCCCGGCUUGCGCAUUCUACCUCUCCGAUCGGCUGAACACCCGCACGCCCAUUUUGUGGGUUGGCUUAGGUAUAGGGAGUUCAUUCCGUGUCUAAGCCCCAGCCGGAUCGAGGGUUCUGGCAACGGGACUGGCAGCACGCAGAGGGGGACCGACAGCAUGCAGAGAGGGACCAGGCGGAUCCUCGGCUUGCGCAUUAUGCCUUUUCGACCGGCUCAGCGCCCGCACGUUCAUUUCGUGGGUUGACUUAUGCAUACGGAGUUCUUUCCCAUUCUAAGAUCAGACCAGACCAAGGGUUGCAGCAGCAAGAUCAACAGCACACAGGGGGGAUCGGGCUGAUCCUCGGCUUGCGCAUUCUACCUUUCCAGUCGACUGAGCACCCGCACUCUCGUUUCGUGGGUUUGGCUUAGGCAUACGGAGUUCAUUCCAUGUCUAAGCAUACGAAGUUCAUUCCCAGUCUAAGAUUUUGAGCCAUGGUGCACAUGCUGGGCUCGAGCAUGUGCUGGUGCCACAUUUUUUUCGCCCAGGGCACCAUCGUCGGAGCAUCGUCGGAGAGCCUAACCGGUGGCAUUGGGGGUUCCGGCGAUUGGGGGUCCAGGGGGUGUGCGCACAUGAUGUGUGAUGGGUGCUGGUACUUGGCCCUUAUAUUGGUCCCCUAUCUCUUAUCAAACCUUGAGAACUCACACCCCCUUAAAGAGCAUCUGAGAUUUUAUAGGUUUGCUGCCAGUAGCUAUUAAAGUGUCUGAAAUGGGGACACUUUUUUCAAAGGGUCACAAAAUCUUCUCCACUUCGAGUUUUUGGCUGAAUUUUUUUGUGCAUGCCAAAAAAAAUACAAGGAUCACCUCUACCAAUUUUGGGGACAAAACUCUUUCCAAAAAAAUUUUAAAAAAUCUUGAACCGUAAAAAGUUUCAAAAAUCGUGAAAAAUAGAAAACGGGUCGUCUUGCCACGAAACGUCAUAUGAAGGCUUAGGGGACCAUUGUAUGAAUUUACAAGCCAUAAAAAUGGCAUUGGCAUUGGCAGAAAUAUGAAGAUGUGCUUGAACCCACCUACCACCCGUUCGAUCCCCGGCUUGCGCAUUCUGCCUCUCCGGCCGGCUGAGCCCCCGCACGCUCGUUUCGUGGGUUGGCUUAGGCAUAUGGAGUUCAUUCCAUGUCUAAGCCCCAGCCGGACCAAGGGUUGUGGCAGCAGGACCGACAGUGGGAUCGACAGCACAUAGAGGGGGAUCGGGCUGAUCCCCGGCUUGCACAUUAUGCCUCUCCGGCCGGCUGAGCACCCGCACGCUUGUUUUAUGGGUUGACUUAGGCAUACGGAGUUCAUCCCCAGUCUAAGCAUACGAAGUUCAUUCCCAGUCUAAGAUCAGAUUGGAUCGAAGGUUGCGACAGUAGGAUCGAAGGCACGCAGGGGGGAACGGGCCGAUCCCCGGCUUACGCAUUCUACCUCUCCGAUCGGCUGAACACCCGCACACCCAUUUCGUGGGUUGGCUUAGGUAUAGGGAGUUCAUUCCAUGUCUAAGCCCCAGCCGGACCGAGGGUUCUGGCAGCACGCAGAGGGGGACCGACAGCAUGCGGAGGGGGACCAAGCCGAUCCCCAGCUUGCGCAUUAUGCCUUUUCGACUGGCUCAGCGCCCGCACGUUCAUUUCGUGGGUUGACUUAUGCAUACGGAGUUCUUUCCCAGUCUAAGAUCGGACCGGACCGAGGGUUGCGGCAGCAAGAUCGACAGCACGCAGGGGGGAUCGGGCUGAUCCCCGGCUUGCGCAUUCUACCUUUCCAGUCGACUGAGCACCCGCACUCUCGUUUCGUGGGUUUGGCUUAGGCAUAUGAAGAUGUGCUUGAACCAACCGACCACCCGUUCGAUCCCCGGCUUGCGCAUUCUUCCUCUCCGUUCGGCUGAGCACCCGCACGCCCGUUUCAUGGGUUGGCUUAGGCAUAGGGAGUUCAUUCCAUGCCUAACCCCAGCCAAAUCGAGAGUUGUGGCAGCGGACCGACAGCACGUAGAGGGGGACUGGACCAAUCCCCGGCUUGCGCAUUAUGCCUAUCCGACCGGCUCAACGCCCGCACACUCGUUUUGUGGGUUGACUUAGGCAUACGGAGUUCAUUCCCAAUCUAAGAUUGAACCGGACCGAGGGUUGCGGUAGUAGGAUCGACAGCACGCUGGGGGGUAUCGGACCGAUCCCCGGCUUGCGCAUUCUGCCUCUCUGGCCGACUGAGCGCCCGCAUGCUCGUUUCGUGGGUUGGCUUAGGCAUACGGAGUUCAUUCCCAAUUUAAGAUCGGAUCGGACCGAAAGUUACGGUGGUAGGUCCAGCAGUAGGAUCGGUAGCACGCAAGGGGGAUCGAGCCGAUCCUCAACUUGCGCAUUCUGCCUCUCCGACCAGCUGAGCACCCGUACGCUCAUUUCGUGGUUGGCUUAGGCAUACAGAGUUCAUUCCAUGUCUAAGCCCCGGUUGGAUCGAAGGUUGUGGCAGCAGGACCGGCAGCGGGAUUGGCAGCAUGCAGAGGGGGACCGAGCUGAUCCCCGGCUUGCACAUUAUGCCUCUUCGGUUGGUUGAGCGCCCGCAUGCUCAUUUCGUGGGUCGACUUAGGCAUACGGAGUUCAUCCCCAUUCUAAGCAUAAGGAGUUCAUUCCCAGUCUAAGAUCAACCGCGACCGAGGGUUGCGGCAGCAGAUCGACAGCACGUAGGGGGACCAGGCCGAUCUUCGGCUUGCGUAUUCUGCCUCUCCG
rnacentral:lncRNA from 1 species